rnacentral:tRNA from 1 species
GCCAGCAUGGUAUAGUGGUUUGAGCAUUGGACUAUGACUCUGGAGACCAGGGUUCGAUUCCCAGCUCAGCCA